rnacentral:tmRNA from 1 species
GGGGGUGUACCGGUUUCGACGGGGAUGAUGAAACUUAAACAGCGGGUAGUUGUGCGGAGCAACUCUAAAAUCCGUAAAAUUUAAAAUUAAACGCUAACGAUAAUUUAGCUUACGCUGCCUAAUUACGGCAGCCGUCAAUCUCAGGAAUACCACGGCUUGAGAAUUGGCGUCGAUCAGUGGUGAACGUGAGUACGCAACGCUUCUGCCGUACCAUGAAUAAGAAGCUACCGAAUAUUAUAGGUUGAGUACGGCCGAUAAUACAAGGGAAUCUUAAAACAUACUCUGCACCCGGAGAAGUUUUUGUGAAUUUGUUUUCGGACAGGGGUUCGACUCCCCUCACCUCCACCA